rnacentral:rRNA from 1 species
GAUGAACGCUGACAGAAUGCUUAACACAUGCAAGUCAUUGGCGAAGCUGCGCUUGCUCAGUCUAGCCAAGGCGGACGGGUGAGUAACGCGUAAGGAACUUGCCCUGCAGACAGGGAUAACAGACGGAAACGACUGAUAACACCUGGUAUUGUCAGGCUGGCGCAUGCCGGCCUGAUGAAAGGAGACGCUGCAGGAGAGCCUUGCGUCCUAUUAGCUAGUUGGUGGGGUAACGGCCCACCAAGGCGAUGAUAGGUAGCCGGCCUGAGAGGGUGAACGGCCACAAGGGGACUGAGAUACGGCCCUUACUCCUACGGGAGGCAGCAGUGGGGAAUAUUGGACAAUGGGGGCAACCCUGAUCCAGCAAUUCUGUGUGCACGAAGAAGGUUUUCGGAUUGUAAAGUGCUUUCAGCAGGGAAGAAGAAAGUGACGGUACCUGCAGAAGAAGCGACGGCUAAAUACGUG